GCCCCCAAUUUGGGUUAAAAUUUAAAACCAAACAAACCAAUCAAAAAGUAUGUUGCUAAAGAUGACUGGUAGUAAAUAUUGAUAAAGUAACAUUAAUACUAAUCAAUGAUAGCUAAUAGAAAGUUAGCAGUUAUAUGAAGUGGUGCCAUUCACAGCACCCAACAAAGCUGACGUCUCUCUGACCUAAAUAAGAACCCUAAACCAAACCAUUGACUCAUUUAGGAAAAAAUAACUUCAAAAACAUAAAGAUAUAAUAUUAAAAAAUCCUCAAGAAACAAUUACUCUACAGAGACUUAAAGAACAAGUGUGAACCAAGGCUAUUUUUUAAUCUGGCUUCAUCAGAGGAAGAAAAACAAUUAACACGUAAAGCAAGAUCUAGUUGGGCUGGAGUGUUUGAGUCAGAACCGUUGAGGGAUACCAGAAAUGAUUGAAGUGAAAAACAAUAAAAGGCUUUUUUGUUUUCAAAUAAUGAAUUAUAUGGGAUCAACUUUAAACUCCCAUCACUGAACCAAUCGUACCCCUGACAGAUUUAGACAUACAAUUAUUGUCAUUCAAUUCAGAAGUUUGGUUCCUGAUGAAAAACAUGACAUGCAUCUAUCAAAACAUAAUAAUCUAAAAGCAGCAUUUCUAUUCACAUCUAAGAAAAAGAACAGCAUGCCAAUUAUUCAGAACCUUAUUACUGAAUUAUUAUUCAAUCAAGCUCUUCCCACCAAAGAGAGAGUCCACAGCACUCAACACAUUUGUUCCUGGUUCGAUUCCCAGCUCUGGUCUAUUUGCUGCAUGUCUUCCUCCUCUGUCUCCAUUCUUCUUUCUUUCAAAGUUUAAUAAAUUUCAUUUGUGCCACAAACAUCCUUAAAAAGACACCCUACAUCUGCUAUGUUUGAUAUACGGCAUAAAAUUGAUGUUAGUUUAUGCUCAGUUUCUUUUUUUAAGUAAUUUAUUCCUUGAUCUUAACUCAUAGAUUUAAUGAUAAUGAGUAAAAAAAGAAAUUAAUUUGCUUCCGUGAUUGUAUUUCCAGUGAGAUGACUACACCUAAUAAAACUGAAAAAAAGAAACUAUUAAAAGAACAAAUCAAUUCUAAUACUGAGGCAUUAUGUGCAUUUAUCAAACGUUUGUGUGGCGAUACAUUCUAAUGUCCAUAGCUACAUUAAAACAGCACAAAGAAAUCCAAACAAAUCAGGAUGCAUUAGUCAUGCUUUGUUAAGUGAUUAGUAGUGCAGGAGUUUCUCACAGAACUCAUUCAAAAGAGCUGUUUUACAAUCUGCAUUUAUAUCACCAGAGUGAUAUAACCAAGCAAAUGUGCUACUAGUGAAAACUGAAUAUAAUCGUUUCUCUUCAAGCUGCUGGAAAAAUGAUCCCUACUCAAACAAAGUCCUAAAAAUAGAGUCUGAGGUCACUGCACUGGAAGAGAAGAUUAGCUGCUCCAGCUAAUCUUGAUUAGCUGGAUGAAGACACUGCCAUUGAUUUCCUUUUUUUUCGUUCAGUUGGCUCUGACGUCGUAGCCUGUGUUGUCAUAAACGCCAACUAUUCUCAUAAUCGUCUUUCAAUUACUUGACGCCACAGGCUUCCCAAUCAUGGCAAGUUGUUAAUUUAGAAGCCAUGCCAUGAAUUGAAGGUUCACCGUGUCUGCCAAACACACGCCACUGUGGUCGGAAACAGAAAAGAGGCGCGAUGUGCGGGCGAACCUCCUCUGACAGAGCUGGACGGCGUCAAUUUCUCGCAUCACCCAGGGUAUAAUUUUGUGUCAAAGACCAUUCCUGGGGACAACACAGCAGAGUUGUAUGACACUGAUGACUGAUUAUCAUUGGCAAUAACAAAAGCCAAGCAACGAGAGAGUUUGGAGAAUCGCGACCCCUUUCCACAGACUACCGAGACCAGCUAGAUGUCGGACUCAAAUCCAUCAACUCCAGGACCAAGCUUUCUUGGGAAACCCACAAAAGAACUGAAGCCCGUCUGUGCAGUGAUGGAGGACACGAGACAAACAUCCAUUCACACGUAAACAUACACCUCCGUCCAACUUCAAUCCAUCCAACAUGCAUCGAAUUCGAAGUACAUGGAGAAAAUCCACUUUAGGUUGAACCCUACACAUGGCACACAGAAGUCAACAUUUUAGUAAAACACAUCUCAGCACUAACUUUAGAAGAAUGUUCUGAUUUCUGCCCAGUGUCAAUCUAAAGGAGCCGACAAAUCCAGACCUAGUCCCACAUCUCCAGUGGCUGAAAUCAACAUUUGUCCCUUUAGGUUCAUGUUGGCACAAUAUUGUCAACUAUUGUGGAUCAUUUUCAAAACUGAUGAGCAAUAGAAAAACAAAUGGAAAUGGAAUGAGCAUGUGUUAAUGCAGGAUUUAUAAAACAAAUCAAGCAGGAAGUGCUUUUUUUUCUGCGAAGGACUAUUACUGUCACUUGAAUGAAGCAAGCCUAAUAUCGAGAUAUAAAGAUGCCAGGGUAACGGCAAGUGUUUGUUUUUUUUGUUUUGUUUUUAAUCUUCAAAGAUUAUUUAAUGCAAAGUUCAGUUUGAGAGAAAUAUUGAUGGUCAUCAAGAUGCCGCAACACAUGUUAACCUUUUAUUGACCCACAAUAAUUAAUAAACCAACUGCGUAAUUUAACUGCAGAAUAUGGGUUGGAGGUGAGGACUUUGAUGCUUGGUGAAAACAGAUCACCUGGAAACUUCAACAGACUCCUUACAUUGGUGCAUAUCAUUAAGAAUGACUGCAGACAAACAAAACAUAUAGUGUGUAAUGUUACAAUCAAAGCCUGAGAUUUUUACGCCCUUCUGUAGGUUUACUGACUUUCAUUCACCUCUUGA